rnacentral:rRNA from 1 species
GGAUUAGGCAUGCAAGUCGCACGAGAAAGGUUUCUUCGGAAGCCGAGUACAGUGGCGAACGGGUGAGUAAUGCAUAGACAACUCGCCCUUGAGAUGGGGACAACGCCUCGAAAGGGGUGCUAAUACCCAAUGCCGCCUUGGGCCUGCGGGUCCAGGGUGAAAGGAGGCCUCUGAUUCAAGCUUCCGCUCAAGGAGAGGUUUAUGUCCUAUUAGCUAGUUGGCGGGGUAACGGCCCACCAAGGCUGCGAUGGGUAGCCGACCUGAGAGGGUGACCGGCCACAUUGGGACUGAGACACUGCCCAGACUCCUACGGGGGGCUGCAGUCGAGAAUCUUCCGCAAUGCGCGCAAGCGUGACGGAGCGACGCCGCGUGGGUGAUGAAGGCCUUCGGGUUGUAAAACCCUGUCAGCUACUACGAAACACGGGCGAUGAACAAUCGUCCCGUCUGACUUAAGUAGCAGAGGAAGCACCGGCUAACUACGUGCCAGCAGCCGCGGUAAUACGUAGGGUGCAAACGUUGUUCGGAAUCACUGGGCAUAAAGGGCGCGUAGGCGGUCUGAUAAGUCAGGUGUGAAAUCCCUCGGCCUAACCGGGGAACUGCAUUUGAUACUGUCGGGCUAGAGUACAGGAGGGGAGAGUGGAAUUCCUGGUGGAGCGGUGAAAUGCGUAGAUAUCAGGAGGAACGCCGGCGGCGAAAGCGACUCUCUGGCCUGUUACUGACGCUGAGGCGCGAAAGCUAGGGGAGCAAACGGGAUUAGAUACCCCGGUAGUCCUAGCCCUAAACGAUGGGCACUAAGUAGAGGGGUUUU